rnacentral:antisense_RNA from 1 species
GCACGGAAAAAUGGCCCUGCCCUCAAGGAGCUGCAGUCUGCCCAGGAAGGCAGACAGAUAAACUGCUAUAGUUUUCCACUAUUGAGCUGAAUUUCGUAUCACCAUCAAAAGUUACCUACCUACAAGUCCCUAGUAGAGAAAAUUUAACUUCUGGCUUUAAAGAAGGGACAGAAAAGUAGGCAGAUCUGCUAGGAAGCAAACUACAGCUCCCCUCAGGAGACACACAGGCAGUGGGUAAGAGGAACAGACCCAUGGCUCCACUGAAGACACAGAGCAGCAGACGAAAAAGACAUGUCCUAAAUGUUAAAUGAAUGUGACAGAAUGAUACCAGGUGACUUCUAAGACUACAUCAUACAAAGCAACACAGCUUCUGCUGGGCUCUCCCUCUCUGGACACGUGUCUUUGAAGCCCUGAGCUGCCAGAUUAAACAGUCCAGCUUGCCUAAAGUCACCACGCUGGAGAGACCAUCAGGGAUGGAGAGGUGCUACAGAAACCCUAGCUAUUCUAGUCCCCAGC